rnacentral:rRNA from 1 species
GUGAUUGGACAUGGGCGAAAGCUGAUCCUGUCAUGCCGCGUGCAGGAAGAACGCCUUCGGGUUGUAAACUGCUUUUGUCAGGGAAGAAAUCUUCUGGGUUAAUACCUCGCGGAGGAUGACGGUACCUGAAGAAUAAGCACCGGCUAACUACGUGCCAGCAGCCGCGGUAAUACGUAGGGUGCGAGCGUUAAUCGGAAUUACUGGGCGUAAAGCGUGCGCAGGCGGCUUUGCAAGACAGAUGUGAAAUCCCCGGGCUCAACCUGGGAACUGCAUUUGUGACUGCAAGGCUAGAGUACGGCAGAGGGGGAUGGAAUUCCGCGUGUAGCAGUGAAAUGCGUAGAUAUGCGGAGGAACACCGAUGGCGAAGGCAAUCCCCUGGGCCUGUACUGACGCUCAUGCACGAAAGCGUGGGGAGCAAACAGGAUUAGAUACCCUGGUAGUCCACGCCCUAAACGAUGUCAACUGGUUGUAGGACGGCUUGCUGUUCAGUAACGAAGCUAACGCGUGAAGUUGACCGCCUGGGGAGUACGGACGCAAGGUUGAAACUCAAAGGAAUUGACGGGGACCCGUACAAGCG